CCUACGGGGUGCAGCAGUGGGGAAUAUUGCGCAAUGGGCGAAAGCCUGACGCAGCGACGCCGCGUGAGGGAUGAAGGUCUUCGGAUCGUAAACCUCUGUCAGCAGGGAAGAACGGUCACUGUGCUAAUCAGCAGUGCAUUGACGGUACCUGCAAAGGAAGCACCGGCUAACUCCGUGCCAGCAGCCGCGGUAAUACGGAGGGUGCGAGCGUUAAUCGGAAUUACUGGGCGUAAAGCGCUCGUAGGCGGUAUGUCAAGUCAAGGGUGAAAUCCCCGCGCUCAACGGGGGAACUGCCUUUGAAACUAGCAAACUGGAGUGUGUGAGAGGAUAGUGGAAUUCCAGGUGGAGGGGUGAAAUCCGUAGAUAUCUGGAGGAACAUCAGUGGCGAAGGCGACUAUCUGGAACAUAACUGACGCUGAGGAGCGAAAGCGUGGGUAGCAAACAGGAUUAGAUACCCCUGUAGUC
rnacentral:rRNA from 1 species